GAAACCACAACAACCACUACAGGCAGAACCGCUAAUGACGGAGACCUUUCAGAAAUGAUGGUUUCAAUCACUAGGUGAAGAACUCUGACCAGCUGAGCUGCUUGCUGAAGGCAAAGGGAAUACAGACUGCAUAGAAGAUAGUUACAAAUGGCAGCUACUACCACACAGAAUGAGUACUGCAACUGUCAUGAAUGCAGCCUGUGGGAGGUAAUUAGGUCAUGCAGGUGAGACACUCAUGAAUGGGAUUUAUGUCCUUAGAAGAAGCCAGAGAUCCAGCUAUCUCUCUUCCUAUCACUUGAGAAUACAAGAAAUCAGCAGUCUGCCGUCCAGAAGAGAGCUCUCACCAAACCUGACCAUGCAGGCACCCUGAUCUCAGAAUUCCAGGCUCCAAAAACGCUAUUAGAGGAUCGGAUCCAGCAAAACAAGAGUGAAGCAAAGAAAGAGAACAUGGGAUUCAGGUAAUAGGUAACGUUACUGGUAAAGUGGGGAACGAAGUUCCCCCAGAUGAUGCAUGUACUUAUCCUUU